GCUGUCAUGGUUCGACCGAUAAACUGCAUUGUCGCUGUGUCCCAGAACAUGGGUAUUGGCAAGAACGGAGACCUCCCCUGGCCCCCGCUCAGGAAUGAAUUCAAAUAUUUCCAAAGAAUGACCAUGACCUCUUCAGUAGAAGGGAAACAGAAUUUGGUGAUUAUGGGUAGGAAGACCUGGUUCUCCAUUCGUGAGAAGAAUAGACCUUUGAAAGAUAGAAUUAACUUGGUUCUUAGUAGAGAACUCAAGGAACCCCCACAAGGAGCUCAUUUAUGUGCCAAAUGUCUGGAUGAUGCCUUAAAACUUAUUGAGCAGCCAGAAUUAGGGAAUAAAGUAGACAGUUUGGAUAGUAGGAGGCAGUUCUGUGUACAAGGAUGCCAUGAACCAGCCAGGCCACGUUAGACUAUUUGUGAAAAGGAUCAUGCAGGAAUUUGAAAGUGACACAUUUUUUCCUGAAAUUGAUUUAGAGAAGUACAAACUUCUUCCAGAAUACCCAGGUGUUCUUUCUGCUGUGCAAGAAGAGAAAGGCAUUAAGUACAAAUUUGAAGUAUAUGAAAAGAAUGAUUAAUAUGAAGCCAUCUCCUGAUUUACUUCAAGUUGUUCUCUUCCUCUACAAAGAAUUAUGUAUUUUAACAUUAGGAAAAAGAUUUUGUUGGCUUUUGAUCUAU